GGAGCCUGAAGGCCGCUGGUGGCCGAGGACCACUCCUGUGCUAGACACUCCAUGGGAGGUUCUGCACCCGGGGCCUGGAAUUAUCCUAGGGCUGUUAUGGUCAUCCCAUUUUACAGAUACAGAUGAAGAGGCUCCAAGACAAGUGAGGAAGUGGGGGUGCCAGGAUAUCAGCCCAGGUUUCUCAGACUCCAGGACACAGGACUGUGCCCAGAGCAGGGAACCACAGUGCAAUAUCUGGGGGGCCUCCUGGGGACAGAGGGGUCUGUGGCCCUGGGUAGUAGGAGGCAAGAGGCUUGGAAAUGAGGAGGCCUGUUGAUGCUGGCCUUGCAGGACUGGAAGCCCUUGAGGGUGAAGUGCUCCAUGGAGAUGGGGACCCAAGGCACCCACCCAGGGCAGGGGGACAGUGAUGCUUGAAGGAGUAGACAUCGAGAUCUGUUUUAUCACAUUGCUCGGGCCUACGAUGUCCUCCCAAAGCGGGCACCGUAGGUAUCUGCUCAAGGUCACCCCUCCUUGGCAGGACACAACAGCAGUUUCCCCUUCCAUGCCCCGUUUUACAUGCUGCGCUGCACAGGACGUCAAGAGCCGUGAGAUGGGGACUCCCACGUGGGGAAGCAUCCCCCCCAGGGCCGGACCUCAGCCUCAGCAACAACUGCCAGGCUUCCUUCCUUCCUUCAUCUCUCCAUCUGUUUCUUUAGCCACAAACACUGCUGCUGAAGCACCUAGUUACCUCCGGAAAAUCCGGCAUGCUUUUCCUGCCAGCUCUCCCCUUGCCUGUUGCAGUGGAAACUAAGCAUCUAGGAGACAAUUGCCAGCACUUUUCCCCAGAUCCGGGCUCUUUAAAUGGGGAUCUACCAACAACAUCUGAUGAAGCAUAGUUACAGCCACCACAUACCCAGCCCAGUAGCUGUCUAACCCCUGAAAAUCGCUGGAAAUGGAGAAAGGGGAUAUGGGGUCAGUGGGCAGCGAUGGUCUCUGGACGUGGGUUAUACAAGGCCCGACACACAAAUGUACACAGUCCGCAUAAUUUGGCCUAAAAUAAACAUGCUAACCACUGUACACAGGAAGAAAUGACAACCUAGCAGGGAUUUUGUUUGUUUUUUUUUCACAAGUUCGAGGCAUUGGGGGAAAUUGUGGUCCAGGUCCAGAUCUCUCCUGAAGCAGGCACACCCCUAAGGAUAGGUGAGGCAAUCAGUGGCUUCUUUUUAGGUCCCAUAAAUUCACUAUAGAAACUGCAGGCCUUGGGAAGCAACCCAUCAGUCUUAAGGGUAAACAUUAAAAAGACUAAGACCAGGGAUCCCUGGGUGGCGCAGCGGUUUGGUGCCUGCCUUUGGCCCAGGGCGCGAUCCUGGAGACCUGGGAUCGAAUCCCACAUCGGGCUCCCGCUGCAUGGAGCCUGCUUCUCCCUCUGCCUGUGUCUCUGCCUCUCUCUUUCUCUCUCUGUGACUAUCAUAAAUAAAUAAAUUGAAAAAAAAAAAAAAGACCAAGACCAGGGGCGCCUGGGUGGCUCAGUCAGUUAAGCCUUCUGACUCUUAAUUUCAGAUGAAGUCAUAAUCUCAGGGUUCUGGGAUGGGGCCCCAUGUAGGGAUCCCAGCUCAGCAGGGAGUCUACUUGUCUCCCUCGCCCUCUGCCCUUCCUCCUGCUCUCUCUCACUCUCUCUCUUAAAUAAAUAAACCUAAAACAACAACAACACACCAAGAUAAAACAAACAAAGGCAACUACUGAGUGCAGGUCAGGUUGGGGGGUGUGGUGGCUGCUGGAGCUUGCCCUCUAACCAGCACAUCUGGAUAUGAGAAUUGCAGAGGGACAAAGGGCAGAUGCAUGGGCUCCAGAGUUGAUCCUCCCUGGGUUCAAAUUGCUACGUGCCCCUCUUAGAGCCAUGUGACCUUAGGCAGGCCUCCCCCAAGCAUCGUGAACUUCCGUUUCCUCAUCUCUAAAACAGGUAUAAUAAUCAUCCUAACCUUGCAGGGCAGUGGUGAAAAGUUAAGAAGAUGAUAAAUGGGAAGUUACC
rnacentral:lncRNA from 1 species